UACGUAGGGUGCAAGCGUUGUCCGGAAUUAUUGGGCGUAAAGAGCUCGUAGGCGGUCUGUCGCGUCGGCUGUGAAAACUCGGGGCUCAACCCCGAGCCUGCAGUCGAUACGGGCAGACUAGAGUGCUGUAGGGGAGACUGGAAUUCCUGGUGUAGCGGUGAAAUGCGCAGAUAUCAGGAGGAACACCGGUGGCGAAGGCGGGGUCUCUGG
rnacentral:rRNA from 1 species